UGAAGCAUUUCAUGAGAGUCCCAAAGCCAGAGACUCGUCACAGGAGGACUUGAUCAGAGGUUGUCUGCUGAGAAGCAAAGAAACUUGUUCUAUAAGAUGAAACAGGCUGGGAUCAUGUGUGUAGUUGUUGCAAUGGAACAAUAAAUUGGAUAACACACAGACGCAAAGUACCAAAAAAGGGAGAAAAAAACUUAGCAGUAAGAAGGAAGAAGGAUAAUUGAAUUUUUCACAGAAUGCAAGAGUAAAGGACACGAGACACACGUGGCAAAGGGUGGUUCGUGAUUUCCUUAUGAUUUAGCAUUUCUGUACACUUGGACUUGUCAUCACCAUUACUCCUACAACUGAUCUGGAGUGUGCUCCCUCCUCCUUCCCAUCACCACCUCCAUGGAGCCUCCUCCACUCCACCUGUUGUUUCUUUCUGUAUACAGCACAGCUGGUCUUGUCCCCAUCAGAGAUGUGUUCUACCCCCAAGCUAGAGGAGAACAUGAAAAGUCUCAGGAAGAUCAUAA